rnacentral:lncRNA from 1 species
GCCUGCACCGCUUUAGUGAGGCCUCUGACCUGCUGAACCAGCAGGUCGAAUUGCGACCGUCGUUGUCGGAGGAGGAGGAGAAGCCUGAAAAAUUGGAGGUGAGGCCGGAGCUGAGAUCUGGCCGCGGAGGCCGUGGAUCGCCUGGUGGAUGUUUUGCGGGGAGGCAUCGGGUGAAUAUCUAGUAGAAGAAGGAGAAGAGGAUGUCGGAGAAG